rnacentral:rRNA from 1 species
GUCUACAGCCAUACCACCCUGAACGUGCCCGAUCUCGUCUGAUCUCGGAAGCUAAGCAGGGUCGGGCCUGGUUAGUACUUGGAUGGGAGAAUAAAUGAAGAAUUUAUUCUCAGGUGCAGGCA